CUCGCAUCCUAUUCCUUCCAUUAACAUAUAAAGGGCAAUGACCCCCAUAUAAAUAAACAAACAUACAUCAACAUUAUUCCAAUCGAUGUAAAGUGCCAACCAUCCAUUAGCCACGGCAGGGGUAUACCCGGAUACCCCUACCCCACCAGCUUCUGAGCCACCGACAGGACUCGAAACCUAUCAACCACCGAUGACCACCACUUGUUUGUUUUCCAUUACGUUCAUCCUGGGGAGCCUAUUUCCUUUCCUUCAGCUCCCCAUCCCGCCAUAAGCUCAGACCUUGACCCCUUAAGCCGUCUGAGCUCCGCCACCCCGAAGAAACAGCGCCCGCUGCAUACCAACCUGCCAACCCAAGUUGAGCAGAUCCCAACCCACCUCCAAAAGAUGAACCCCGUCCGAGCGGUAGUACCCCGGCAACCCCUCUUCCAACUCGCCGUGCCGUACCACCACGCCCCCCACCUUCCUAACAAAGCUUGCCAUCAAGCUGUUCACUUUCUUCCUGCAUUGAUUGAUCGCCACCGGAUCCCGCGCAUGCCGCCACCGACGCCUUGGGACAAUCUCCGACCACACUAACAGAACCCCCGGAAGCAGGUCCCUCAGUUUGUUGAUGUCCUGCUUCAUCCAUUUUACCAACCGUCGUUGCGGCGUAAGGCCCAAGUCGUUACCCCCGGCAUGAAGGACCACCAUGUCCGGCGUUUUCCCGCCUGCAACCAUCCUAAAC